AUGAUCGACGUUGAGGUCGACGUCGAGCUGGUCCCAGCUCUACAGGCUGUACCAGUGGAAGGCGAUAUGCCUGACGACGCAGUCCUUGUGUUUGAGCCGGAUGAUGUACUUCUUGUGGACAUACCCGUGGAUGUCGAGGGGGUUCAAGUUGUGGAGGUGGCGCACCUGGAUGGUGGAAAUGGUGAUCAGCAGCAAGCCAACGAAGACGAAGACGAAGCCGAAGGCAUCGAAGAAGAGCUGAUUGAAGCUGCGAACAACUUCGAGAUACACGCUUUCAUCAACCGUCCCGCGCCUCCCGGCCGCCAAAUUUGCUGCUGCGAGUGCGGGCCGUGCGGCAUUUCUGAACUUCUGCUGUUCCUUUGGCUAGUCUUUGGUGUGGCAAUACUGCUGUUUCAGGGGCGAUACAAAGGCGAGUCACUUCCGGGCGGAGUGGCGAGCACCAGUUCCUCCAAGAGCACAGCGCUGGUCCCAUUUUAUCAUCUACAUGUUCUGCCUCCGCAGGAGUUUGCUAUCCGUGGGAGAAGCCCAAUGACCUUGACGAGGCGGCUAUGCAUUGCUUCAUCCUCCUCAUACGCCAAGCAACCCUCAAAUGCUUUGUUUCAAGGCAUGGCAAGUACACUGAUGGAGAGUGUGGAGACAAGUGCUUCGAGAGCUUGGUCAGGGAGGCUGUACUUACCUGCUCCGAGGAUCAAAAGAAAACCUAUGAUGGCGUGCCCCCCACCUGAUCUAGGAGAGAGCCCAGGUUGCACGUUCUACGCUAUGGAGUUCACAGAGGAGAGUGCCGAUGAUGCGUACGUGUCGCUGCUAUGGAGUUUAAUGAAGACAUGA
rnacentral:rRNA from 1 species